rnacentral:rRNA from 1 species
AGAGUUUGAUCAUGGCUCAGGAUGAACGCUGGCGGCGUGCCUAACACAUGCAAGUCGAGCGAGAAAUUUCUAAAUGAAGCUUCGGUAGAUUUUAGGGAUGGAAAGCGGCGGAGGGUGAGUAACGCGUAGGCAACCUGCCCCUUGCAGAGGGAUAGCCAUUGGAAACGAUGAUUAAAACCUCAUAAUACCGGAGCAUCACAUG